rnacentral:piRNA from 1 species
UACCCAUGUACUCAGUGGCUAUAUGGCUGA